rnacentral:lncRNA from 1 species
CUUACUCUCUCACUCUGAGAGGGAGCUGGCACACCCUCAGAGCUCGGACACACUUCUUCUCUUGCCCUUGGACAUCAGAAUAGCAGGAUCUCCCGAAUACCAGAUUCUCUAAGCUUCGAACUGUGGGAUUUGCACUAGUGGACUCAGGACUUACCCCUGAGAAUCCAGGGUUUCCAGGUUUAUGACCUCCAGCUGAGAGUUGUAUCAUUGGCUUUACUGAUUCUGAAGAUUUUGGUCUUAGGCUGUACUUGCUACAAUCAUCUCUGGCUCUCCAGUUUGCAGAUGGUUUCUCCUGAAGCUUCUCAACCUCCAUAACUGUAGUCAUUAAGUUUUGCUGUCCUGGUACCUAAGGAGGAAUGCUUUCACCAGGGAACCCAUCUAUCGUUCUGUUACAUUAAGAGAAGCCAUGACAAAAGCAGCAGAGUGAAUGCACUGGAGACGAGAAUGGCAAAGAAAAAAAGCUACGUCCUAGAACUGCCCUCGGAAAUGAUUAAGACAAAUUCCUUUUUGGCCUAAUAUACUAAGGAAAGAGGAAGAUUGACACUCGGGUUACUUUUUAAAUGAUAUUUUUAUUACAAUCUUUAAUAUGAAGUUUUAUAAGUCAGGAAUCAUGCAUGUUCAUCAGUAAAAUAAGCAUCACAUUUAUAAUACUUACGUUUAACAUAUUUUGAAUGAAUUAGAUUCUAUAUGGUAAGACAAUUUUAUUUCACCUACGGUCUUUUCAUACACUUCUCCUGAAUAUAAUCCCCUGAAGACAUGUUUUUCUUUCACUUUCUGGUUCCCCAUUUUCUCUCCUUAUUUGCUGUUUUAUCCCCUUUGGUAUGACAGGGCAAGUUUCGGGAGGUCAAUGAAGAUACAGGGAAGGUUUUCAGAUGAUUGGUUUCGUGUAAUUGGGUCAUGUACUAAUCUUUAUUUGGUAGGUUCAAAACUUCUUGCACUUUCCCUUAGGUGAUGCUUAUGUGGAUUUCCUAAAAAAUUCGUUUGCUGUGCAUUUCAGCAGUUCACACUGUUAAUUAAGAAAUUUUCCUUCUGAUUGGCCAUUCUUCCUACAACCCCUGUUUGGUACCUCUGUUUGUAUAUCCUGGCCUUUUCAGGCAUAUCUAUUAGACAGAGAUGGCUCAGUCUAACUCCAUUUUGCCAGGUUCACAGGAGAGUUAUAGGCAUCCUUACCCCAUCAGUUUCUGGGGGUGUCAGCUAUCCCUGCUCUGCUGCCCACAGUCGUGAUUCUAGUCAUCAUUGCUCACCUUUGACUUGUGUAGAUGGAGUCAGUAUACCCUGGUUCCAUGACUUUACAGCAAACUCUUUCAGUGUUUAGUUUGAAGACCCUCAACUGGCUUGAUACAGAUAAAAACACUUCUUCUCAUUCCCCAUGAGUUAGAGUUGAGAAAGAAAAUACAAGGAAAACCAUCAGCUCUCUUUACAAUAGAAACUUUUCUUUGUUUUAUAAAUAAUUCACAUAUACCUGGAUGUACAUAUAUAUAUAUGUGAAUAUACAUACACAAACAUAUGUAUAUUCAUUUAUAUACAUCUUCAAAAGUAGUAGUCUAUUUAAUCUCCUUAGUGAUUACUUUUUAUUUAAAAGGAUGGAGGUAAUGGGCCAGGUGCCUUGGCUCAUGCCUGUAAUCCCAGCACUUUGGGAGGCCAAGGCGGGCGGAUCACCUGAGGUUGGGAGUUCGAGACCAGUCUGACCAACAUGGACAAACCCAGCCUCUAUUAAAAAAAAAAAGCAAAAUUAGCCAGGCGUGGUGGUGCAUGCUUGUAAUCCCAGCUACUCCGAAGGCUGAGGCAGGAGAAUCACUUGAACCCGGGAGGCAGAGGUUGCAGUGAGCCCAGGUCGUGCCAUUGCACUCCAGCUUGGGCAACAAGAGCAAAACUCCAUCCCCCCACACCCACAAAAAAGCAUGGAGGCAAUGAUAUGCUGUUUGUGAGAGUACCCUUUAAUAUCUGUUUAGUGUAUCCUGCAGCAGAGAUCUCUUCUCUGUCUUUAGGAUGCAGGACUACUUGAAACCAAUAAUUUAUUAUUUGCUUUCAGUUUGGGAGCCACAGUCCAAAUGAAGAAAAUCAAGUCUCCUUGUAAGUGCUUGCACAUGUUUAAAAUAUUGUAAACCUAUACACUGUUGGUUGUUUUAAAGAACAAACAUCAUUUUACAUUGCAAAUAUAUUAUUUUAAUUUUGAGUGAUAUUAAUUUGUGUUCUUUAUUUCUUUUUUCCAUUUUACUUUUCACUCUUUCCCCCUCAAUUCUCUUACGAUUAAAAUUCUCUCCUCAAUUCUAUUAGGAUUCAAUAAUUUAAUACUUUCAGUGCCGAUUUUCCCAGGGGAUGUAUAUAACCAAACACAAUUGAACCUUUUUAAAAAUACAUCAUGUUUUUUUUAAAAAAAACCUUUGACAUUCCAUGACAUUAGGCAAUUUGAUAGUCUAGUCAUAGACAAAAUUGUUGAUAGAUAUUCAGGGAUUAUAACAGGGCAUCUGUCAAGUACGAAGACUUCCUCUAAAGACUAGAAAAUAUUUUUCCUGGAUUUAGGCUAAAGAAGGGGCAAAUGAUAAAACAAUGUUCCAGUUUAGGGUCUGUAGCCUGUGUGGUGGAAGACAGAGAAGUCCUGUGCCCUGCUUUUUAUAGGCAUCCAGUAAAGCUUAUUAAAAAAAUAGCAUGUAUGAACUCAGUCACUCUGGGCUAUACAGAGGUUCUUUGAGAGCUAUUAUCCCAGCACAAUGAAAAAUUGCAGAUGGAUUCUCAGCUACAGCCUGACAUUACUACAGAGUGCUGCUGAUCCUGAGUCUUUAGAGACAGUAGGGAAGAACAUGCUCACAUUUACAAUUUGGAAACAAAUAAACAGAUGUAAUGAGGCAUCUCAACAAUUUGGUUGACAUGCAUGUAGACAAAUGAUGCCAGGGCUACAUGUGUUUCCUACUACUAGUAUAAUGGCCUACCAGCAUUUUCACUCAACUGGAAAUCUUCACUUCUGAAAAUGGAGAUAAGUAGCACAUUAACUAAGAUGAACUUUUUCCUAUCUUAAUGAAAAGGUGAUUCAAAAUAAAGAUUAACCUGAGUUCCCCAAAAAAUAUGCACUAAUGCAUAUCAGAGCUAAGACUGAAAACUGGACAGUGUUUCUGUGUGUGUAUAAGAGAACAUACACCAAAUGAAUACAAGUAUUUAGAAAAUAAUAUUUGUAUAUUACAGAUGUCAUUUGGCUGUAUAAUCAAGAAGAUGAGUGGCAAAUAAAUUGUAAGUUCAUAUGGAAUAAUGAAAGAAUAAAUUUAACAUUUCAUAAAUAAUUUAAAUCUAAUUUAUUAUACACAAGCUAUCUUUGUCCCUUCAUAGCACAGAGAAUUUUUUAAAACCUGCAGAGAACAGGGUGAUGUUUUCCAUUAUCACUUUGAGUUAAAGCUCACCGCAUGCAAUGCCUUAGGCGUAAUAAAUUACUCAAUUCUACAAACAUUAUUUAUGCCGCCAGGUGCCUUAUUUUCAUAAAGAAUCAAUUUUCCAUAAUCCCUGGAAUAAUUAAAUUACACAAACAAUAUUGUGAAAACACAUACAGAAAAACUAAGCCCAGAAAUAUUUAAUCGCUUAUGGGAAAAAAUGAAUGAUAGAAAUGUUAAGUAAUGAAAUAUUAAAUGAUUAUUUUUAAAACAUGAUGGUUAAUUUGCCUUUGCAUGUAAUUUGUACACUGUGCAUAUUGACUCCUAAGACCAACGUAUCAUCCCCCAAUCCUCUCUAAUUGCAAAACUGUCAGGCUCCUUACUUUGGCAAGCAGUGCCCUGUUCCAAUAGCUGUUCAAAAAAUCAGUGCUGAUGAGAAGACUUGUGCCAGAACUCGUAAGCAAUUAAUUUCUUCACCGAUCUCUGGAAUUCAUCCAAACUCUUCAAAACUGAAAAGAGCCUUGCCAUACUGUCACUCAUGGAUAUAUUUCCAAUUAGGCUGUCUAAUAAUUUCACCUUGAAGUGGUGAGAUUAACUAAAUCUAAUAUUAAGGUAUUUGGUUCCUAUUUUAGUGUAUAAAUGUAUAAUGCAUACUUCUAUCAGUGAAAGAUGUUUAUUAAAAACAAACCAAUGAACAGAGCUAGUUCCUGUUAAAACACAUUUGGACCAGAAAAUAAUAUUUAUUUCAACAUGCAACAAAAAUAAAGCAUCCUGAUCAAAUAUCUUGAGAUUAUCCUUCUUCGAGGAAUAAACUUGUCACACCCCAUAUUUGCCUUCUCAGAGAAUCCUCAUGACUAUAAUUUCCUCAUAUAUAUAAGGAAAUUACAUAUAUAUACAUAUUAUGUGUAAUAAAUACAUAUAUUCAUAUUUUUAUCUGUACCUAAAUACCUCUUACCACUUACCAUUUCCUCUCCAGUCCAUGUCACCAAUAUUUCACUCCUGUACUGAUUUCAAACUUACCUUCCUAAUAUCUGUUUUCCAUAUAUGAAUCAUAGUCAUUGCGUUAGUUUUCUAGGGAUGAUAUAACAAAAUCACAGGCUGAAUGGCUUAAAGAAAUAUAAAUUUAUUCCCUCACAGAUCCAAGAUGAAAGUGUCAGCAGGUUUGGUUUCUCUUAAGGACUUCUUCCUUGACUGGCAGAUGACUGCCUUCUCUAUGUGUCCUCACAUGGUCUUUCCUCUGUUUGCAUGCAUCCCUGGUGUCUCUCUGUGUAUAUAAAUUUCCUUUUAUUAUAAGAAAACCAUUCAGAUUGGAUUAGAACCAACUUAUAUGACCUCAUUUUACCUUCAUUACCCCCUUAAAUGCCUCAAUUCCCAAAGCAGUCACUUCUGGAAUUACUGAGAUUUAGGGCUUCAAUAUACAAAUUUUGGGGUAACAAAUCCAGCCCUUAAUAAUCAUCCUUUUCAAGCCAAAGUAAUACUCUGUCAUACCUGUGGUGUGAUUACUUCCCAAAACAUCUAAAAUGAAAGUAGCAUUUGGUUCUCUCUUCAAUAUCUUUCUCACAAUUUUCCACCCCUGUACCAGACAAAUUUACUUCUUUCUUUUCCGUAAUACUGAAGUAAGCUAGAGCUAGUGAACUGGUGAUUCUUCAAUCUGAAACCCUCUUCUCUAGAUAUCACUAAGACUUUCUCCAACUUGUAUGCUAAAUCUUUGUUUUACCUAUUUUCUGAUACUUAUAGAGGGUUCCCUGGUCACCUGUCAAAAGUACUACCACCCUACUUCUCUGUCCUUUUACUUGCUUUUCUUUUUGUUUUUUAUUACUGUCCAAUAUGUAUUUGUUGAUUAUUUGUUAAUCUCUUACUGGCACAAAUAGAAUACAAUGACUUCUCACAGAUUCUGUCUAAAUGUUCCACCCUACCUUCCCUGAGGAGUGUCUUAGUUUUAAGCUUCUUCUCACAUAAACAAAAGUAAGUUCUUUUAUUUAAGAACUUACUUUGUAGUUUUCUUCAUACGUUGAACUUCUCUGAUAGUUGCUAUAUGAGAUAGGAUCUAAUAAACAAAUUUUAAUAUAAACAAGAUUAGUAAUUUUGUACCUACAAUAUAUUCACAUGUUUUAAGCUUAAUGACUUAAAAUAAGGAUGGAUAAAGUUUCAGACAUCAGAAACAAGAUAGUUUGUCAGAUGCUGGGUUCUCUUCCUCCAAGACCAGUUGAGAGAAGCCUAAGAGUCUCAACCACAAGCCCCACUACUCAAUCGAAUAAGCAUCAGCCUCACUUCUUGUGUUUUGAUUACUAGUGAUUCAGAUCUGCCUUAUUUUUCCUAAAGAAACAUUUUCUUCACUGUUAGCUUAUAUACUGAUCUUUCUGUCUAACUAGAAAUUGCAUCUACCUAUUAGAUCUUUUGUUCUAUAUAUAAUUGCUUUCAUGUUUUAGCUUGGUUUUCCUUCAUAUUGGUUCCAUUUCCCCCAACACUGCAAAUAUUACCAUUUGUUUCCCAUGCUUGCUUGGGGAAGAAAUGCAUGAGGAGAGGUUAAAUAUUUAGGGUAAACCAUCUGGUCUCUUAAAUCGUACAAUUUGCACUUUCUAUUCUUUGUAGAAAACACAUUGAAUGAAGAUGAUAUGGUGCUGGCUUAUGGUUUUAUACCGAGUAUUAAUAAUAAGGCUUUUUAACUCUCAGGAGAAUCCUGGUUUGGAUGAUACAUUGUAUGGUCACCCUAUAAAGGAAAAUGUUAACACAGUGGGUUGGGUUACUCAAUAUUUAUAUAACUCUGAAGGGUCCUGGAAUGAUGAUUGAUCUUUAGUCAUCCCUUGGAAAUGUGGUCUUUGGAUUGUUCUUUAUGUCACAGACAGAUGAUGUUGUUUUAUACACCUGGAUAAACAGGGCACACUGUACUAUUAGGUUAUGUUGUAAAUAUAUCUGUAAAUGUUUACCAAAAUUUAUAAUAUAGAUCUGGACCCUGUACUAGGUCUUGGGUAUCAGUUAUCACGGCUGUUAGCAGGAAUGUGCCUACAUGAUCAAUUCUUAUGAUCAUUAACCACCCAGGCCUGGAGAAUUAAGCAGAAUUCAGUGGAAAGAUACUUCUCUCAUGGGUUCCUAUAGUUUGCUGCUAGAGAGAAAGUGCAUCCUAUGGUACCCUAUGAGUAAAGGAUUUGUAAACCUGUUUUUGAUGACUCUGGACUUUGCCUAAUAUAGAUGUUUUACUUGUUGCUUUUACUCUUUUAUUUUUUGUUUUUAAUCAUUCUGUAAUAAACUCUAG